AAAAAGUCGUAACAAGGUUUCCGUAGGUGAACCUGCGGAAGGAUCAUUAACGAAAAAGAAAAAGGGAUUGUCGCUGGCCAGGUUAAUUCUUGGCAUCGUGCACGUCUUUUAUCCAUUACACACUUGUGAACCUAUUGUAGAUCCGAGAGGAUCUAUGUCUUUCAUCACUUCUUACAAUCGUAUGUUUUUGAAUGUCAACAAAACAAUUAUUACAACUUUCAGCAAUGGAUCUCUUGGUUCUCGCAUCGAUGAAGAACGCAGCGAAUUGCGAUAAGUAAUGUGAAUUGCAGAUUUUCAGUGAAUCAUCGAAUCUUUGAACGCACCUUGCGCUCCUUGGUAUUCCGAGGAGCAUGCCUGUUUGAGUGUCAUUUAAUUAUCAAUCUACUAUUGAUUGGAGUUGGGAAUUGCUGGCUUUGAUUAGUCGGCUGUCCUUAAAAGCAUUAGCGAGCGAUAAAGUAGUUCAUUUACUGCGUGCACGGCCUCUGACGUGAUAAUGAUCGUUGUGGGCUGGAAGCGUAUGGAUGGUCGAAAAGCUUGCUUCGAAAACCCUUAAUUAGUUAUUGAAGCUAGUUAAAACAAAGAGACAGAACGAGUGGAAUAUUUCUAUGUGCAUAUACGGCUAGUGUAGGUUAUGGAAGCAAAGUAGUAUUGGAAGCUCAAAGUGGAAAUUGGACUAUGUUUUUUUGAAUGGAAGCUGGUGCCAAUUUAAUUAUUGGUGCGGUGAAAGUUUGAAAAGAUUGGUUAAUAGAAGCUAGAGUGAAAAGUGCUACUGUAGAUGUGGAUAUAGCUUAUGUAGGCUGGAAGGCAUAGUGAAUUGAAAGCUUAAUGGUUUUGUUUCGAAUUGAAAUUGACCUCAAAUCAGGUAGGACUACCCGCUGAACUUAAGCAUAUCA
rnacentral:rRNA from 1 species